rnacentral:tRNA from 1 species
GCCGAGGUAGCAAAGCCAGGCCAAAUGCGCCGGCCUUGAGAGCCGGUUCCCCUUUGCGGGGAGCAGGGGUUCAAAUCCCCUCCUCGGCG